rnacentral:rRNA from 1 species
AACGAACGCUGGCGGCAGGCUUAACACAUGCAAGUCGAACGCGUGUAGCAAUACACGAGUGGCGCACGGGUGAGUAACGCGUGGAUAUCUGCCUUUUGGUUCGGAAUAACUCCGGGAAACUGGAGCUAAUACCGGAUGGUUCCUACGGGAUAAAGAUUUAUCGCCAAAAGAUGAGUCCGCGUACGAUUAGCUAGUUGGUGGGGUAAUGGCCCACCAAGGCGACGAUCGUUAGCUGGUCUGAGAGGACGAUCAGCCGCACUGGGACUGAGACACGGCCCAGACUCCUACGGGAGGACGCAGUAGGGAAUCUUGCGCAAUGGGCGAAAGCCUGACGCAGCCAUGCCGCGUGUAUGAUGAAGGUCUUAGGAUUGUAAAAUACUUUCGCCGGGGAAGAUAAUGACGGUACCCGGAGAAGAAGCCCCGGCUAACUUCGUGCCAGCAGCCGCCGUAAAAC